ensembl:snoRNA
UAUCCUGAAAUGAUGUCUAAAUUUCGUGUCUCUGACAGUUUUCUGUGGAGAUGGUUUUUGCUGUAUUGAUCUGAUCAGGCUG